rnacentral:lncRNA from 1 species
UCCUGGCUGGCGAGGACCCCUUGGGGUAAGUAGCACGAGUGUGUCCAUGCUCCUCAGAGCCUUUACCCAGGACAGGAGGUCUUAGGAAGAAUUAUGGCUGGCAGAAAACCAUCUAGCAUUAAUGAAUCCAAGAGACAGACACAGGCCAAGCUACUUCCACAUCGCUGAAAAACCCUCAGGCCUCCACGGCAGAGUUCUACGCACUGCCCCCGGCCCCAGGGUGUGUCCACAGCGCCCACCCGCGGCCUCGAAGCACCUCCAGAGCAGGUCUUUGGGAGUUAACCAGCAAACCGACCUGCAACUGCCAAAACCUCCGCCAGAGGCCUUAAAACCUAGGACCCAUCCGACGGUUCGCCUCGUCCAUGCAAGCGUGCGUUCAUCAGCCUGGCACGCGCGCACGCGACAACACGAAUCCACGGACGGCGCCCGGGGAGCCGCGCCCAGCCCGGGCUGCAGGCUGAGAACGCGCGCCCCGCUUGCCCUCCUCCUCCCGCUCAGCCCCGGCCCCUCACCAAGGGGACAACAGCUCAAUUACGAAAAGGAGCGAAAGAACCAGUUCCCGGCUCCGAGGCGCCCGCGGACGCUCCUUGGGUCCCAGGUCCCCGUCGCACAGUCCCCACCCCCACCGUCCUCAGCGCGGGGAGGGCGGGGACGCAGCGGUGCGAGGGGUCCUGGCCUGCUCCGCCGAAACAAAGCCCGCCGCGGGAUACCGCGGCCGCGCACCGAGCUGGCGACAAAGGCGAGCGGCGGGCAAGAGCCACGCUCCGAGCCUGCGCUCCUCGGGCCGGGCGGGAAGGAAUCCCGAAAGAUGGGUGCGAUUUGCACCCGCUUGUUUCUGGGUUGCAGUCUCCCGCUCCUGUGCACUCAAUGACCUGUUAGGGUGUCUCAGCAUUUAUCUCGCCUUUCCGCGCCCAUCUGCCUCUCUCCUGUUCCCUCGGUCCCUAGCCUCCUCCAUGGGGUUAGUCCUCCUCUCUCCUUCUCCCUUACUGCAUUCUCACUCUGCCCUUUUUACCUUUCCCUUUUUCUUUGCCAUAAAAAAGCAAUGCUAAUUCGACUUCUGCUGGCCGCUCUACGCGUCAAAUCGCAUUUUUCAAGGCCUUUCUGGGCAGUGCUCAGGAAGAAAGGGUGAGACAUGGGGUCCUUUUAAUUUUAGUACGCAAGCUGUACGCUAAAUAAAAUAAAACGCCAGGAGAGUGGAUCUAAAGAAGCCAAGCUCGGCCCUGAGGCCCCACACACUACCCCACUCGGGAGGAAUCCCGCGGGGGCCCGCAAAUCACGCGCCGGCGAGGGUGGAGGCCAACGGAGGACCCAAGCCUCGGCCUCUCCAAGGCAAACACUGGGGAAAGUUCUUAUCCUUCGUUCCAGCUCGGGAGGGGAACCGCUGGCCAGAUCCCUCCGAUAAAGUCCUAGUAUUUUCGAAUUUAGGAGACUUUCAUAGUGGAUGUUUUUCCAAGUGAAGUUUCACUGGGUGGUUUUGUGAUGUGAAUUAAAAAUAAAAGGACUGCUGCCCACCCCACUAGAGCAAUAUAAGAUACACCUUGACUUCCGGAGAUGUUUGCACCUUGCUUUAAUACUGAAUUAACAUUUAAUGCCUAUCAAGUGCUACACUAGGCUCAGGAUCCUUCCCUCAGGCUUUUAUUAACCAAGUUCCCCACAGAAAUUUUGGAGAGAGGGCUGAGCGUUCAAAGCAAUGCCGGACACAGAACUUUUAAGUUGGGACUAACUCGUCCGAGCUGGAACUGCAAGAAGCUAUGUGAGUUAGGUCGAUUAAAUGAUAUUGCUGCAAAUUGUGGAGUAUUUGAAGCACUGGAUACGAAUGAAUACACUGCUUUUAAAGUGAACAAUAGAAACAUAGAAACGCUUUCUAUUUCUAACACCUCUGAGGCUGGCCAGGCCUGUGGGCACCGGGGUGGGUUAGAGCCCGGGAUGCAGCUUAGCAGUGGGGUGGCAGCCGCAGCAUUCAGAAGCGGAGACCCAGCACAGCAGCGUUUGGUGGAAAUGCCCAAAAGAGCAGCCCUUGGCCUGACACACUGCAAGCUGCACCCACCUCCUCGGACAAUAGCUGGGUUCAGAUGUCAAAAAAAUCUAAUAAAAAAGAGGCACCA